GAUGAUUCUGUUCAGGACGCACUGC
rnacentral:piRNA from 1 species